rnacentral:pre_miRNA from 1 species
GUCUUCGACGGCGAGGUUGGACUAGCAGCGGAAAAUCUGGACGCGAUUUUGGAGGGGCAUGCAACGGUUGUAUGUCCCUCCAACACCCCCUCCGUUUCUUCCGCUGCCAAUCCGACCUCGCUGUAGGAGAA